CCUCAAAUCGGGUGAGACUACCCGCUGAACUUAAGCAUAUCAAUAGNCCGGAGGAANA
rnacentral:rRNA from 1 species